rnacentral:rRNA from 1 species
AAUAGUUAUAAUCUAUAAAAUUAAAAAAUUUGGCGGUAUUUUAGUCUUUUUAGAGGAACCUGUUCUGUAAUUGAUAAUCCACGAUUAGAAAUACUUAUUUUAAAAAUUUAUAUAUCGUUGUAGUUGAAUAUUUUAUUAGAAUUAUAAUAUUCAUAAAUUUAAAUUAGAAAAUAAAUCAAAUCAAGGUGUAGUUUAUAAAUAAGAAGAAAUGGGUUACAAUAAAAGUAUUUUUGGAUAAUUAAUUUAAAAUUAAUUUGAAAUUGGAUUUAAAUGUAAUUUAUUUUAUUUAGAAUAAA